UACGAAGGGGGCUAGCGUUGCUCGGAUUGACUGGGCGUAAAGGGCGCGUAGGCGGUUCGUACAGUCAGACGUGAAAUUCCUGAGCUCAACCUGGGGGCUGCGUUUGAUACGUGCGGACUUGAGUGCGGAAGAGGGUCGUGGAAUUCCCAGUGUAGAGGUGAAAUUCGUAGAUAUUGGGAAGAACACCGGUGGCGAAGGCGGCGACCUGGUCCGAUACUGACGCUGAGGCGCGAAAGCGUGGGGAGCAAACAGG
rnacentral:rRNA from 1 species